AGUGCAUGUGGUGGAUGCCUUGGCGAUCACAGGCGAUGAAGGACGCGGUAGCCUGCGAAAAGCUUCGGGGAGCUGGCAAACAAGCUUUGAUCCGGAGAUGUCCGAAUGGGGAAACCCGGCCCGAAUGGGUCAUCCCUGACUGAAUACAUAGGUCAGGGAAGCGAACGCGGCGAACUGAAACAUCUAAGUAGCUGCAGGAACAGAAAUCAACCGAGAUUCCCAGAGUAGUGGCGAACGAAAUGGGAAGAGCCUUGCACUCUUUAGCAGAACUGUUAGCAAAACGGGAUGGAAAGCCCGGCCAUAGCAGGUGAUAGCCCUGUAUGCGAAAACAGAUUUGUGGAACUAGGUGUGCGACAAGUAGGGCGGGACACGUGAAAUCCUGUCUGAAGAUGGGGGGACCAUCCUCCAAGGCUAAAUACUCGUGAUCGACCGAUAGUGAACCAGUACCGUGAGGGAAAGGCGAAAAGAACCCCGGGAGGGGAGUGAAAUAGAUCCUGAAACCGCAUGCAUACAAACAGUCGGAGCCUGGAAACGGGUGACGGCGUACCUUUUGUAUAAUGGGUCAGCGACUUACAUUCAGUGGCAAGCUUAACCGAUUAGGGAAGGCGUAGCGAAAGCGAGUCCGAACAGGGCGUUGAGUCGCUGGGUGUAGACCCGAAACCAGAUGAUCUAUCCAUGGCCAGGUUGAAGGUGCGGUAACACGUACUGGAGGACCGAACCCACUAACGUUGAAAAGUUAGGGGAUGAGCUGUGGAUAGGGGUGAAAGGCUAAACAAAUCUGGAAAUAGCUGGUUCUCUCCGAAAACUAUUUAGGUAGUGCCUCGUGUCUCACCUUCGGGGGUAGAGCACUGUCAUGGUUGGGGGGUCUAUUGCUGAUUACCCCGCCAUAGCAAACUCCGAAUACCGAAGAGUGCAAUCACGGGAGACAGACAUCGGGUGCUAACGUCCGGUGUCAAGAGGGAAACAACCCAGACCGCCAGCUAAGGUCCCCAAAUAUAGCUAAGUGGGAAACGAAGUGGGAAGGCUAAAACAGUCAGGAGGUUGGCUUAGAAGCAGCCACCCUUUAAAGAAAGCGUAAUAGCUCACUGAUCGAGUCGUCCUGCGCGGAAGAUGUAACGGGGCUAAGCUAUAUACCGAAGCUGCGGACGCACGCAAGUGCGUGGUAGGAGAGCGUUCUGUAAGCCUGUGAAGGUGUCUUGUAAAGGAUGCUGGAGGUAUCAGAAGUGCGAAUGCUGACAUGAGUAGCGAUAAAGGGGGUGAAAGGCCCCCUCGCCGUAAGCCCAAGGUUUCCUACGCAACGUUCAUCGGCGUAGGGUGAGUCGGCCCCUAAGGCGAGGCAGAGAUGCGUAGCUGAUGGGAAGCAGGUUAAUAUUCCUGCACCGUCGUAUGAUGCGAUGGGGGGACGGAUCGCGGAAGGUUGUCCGGGUGUUGGAAGUCCCGGUCCCUGCAUUGGAGAAGGCGCUUAGGCAAAUCCGGGCGCGGAAUUCAAGGAUGUGGGGCGAGCGGCUUUAUGCUGCGAAGCAAUCGGAAGUGGUUCCAAGAAAAGCCUCUAAGCUUCAGUCAUACGAGACCGUACCGCAAACCGACACAGGUGGGCGAGAUGAGUAUUCUAAGGCGCUUGAGAGAACUCGGGAGAAGGAACUCGGCAAAUUGGUACCGUAACUUCGGGAUAAGGUACGCCCUGGUAGCUUGACUGGCCUGCGCCAGAAGGGUGAAGGGGUUGCAAUAAAAUGGUGGCUGCGACUGUUUAAUAAAAACACAGCACUCUGCAAACACGAAAGUGGACGUAUAGGGUGUGACGCCUGCCCGGUGCCGGAAGAUUAAAUGAUGGGGUGCAAGCUCUUGAUUGAAGUCCCGGUAAACGGCGGCCGUAACUAUAACGGUCCUAAGGUAGCGAAAUUCCUUGUCGGGUAAGUUCCGACCUGCACGAAUGGCGUAACGAUGGCCACACUGUCUCCUCCCGAGACUCAGCGAAGUUGAAGUGUUUGUGAUGAUGCAAUCUCCCCGCGGCUAGACGGAAAGACCCCAUGAACCUUUACUGUAGCUUUGCAUUGGACUUUGAACCGAUCUGUGUAGGAUAGGUGGGAGGCUUUGAAGCGUGGACGCUAGUUCACGUGGAGCCGUCCUUGAAAUACCACCCUGGUUUGUUUGAGGUUCUAACCUUGGCCCGUGAAUCCGGGUCGGGGACAGUGCAUGGUAGGCAGUUUGACUGGGGCGGUCUCCUCCCAAAGUGUAACGGAGGAGUUCGAAGGUACGCUUGGUACGGUCGGACAUCGUACCUAAAGUGCAAUGGCAAAAGCGUGCUUAACUGCGAGACCGACAAGUCGAGCAGGUGCGAAAGCAGGACAUAGUGAUCCGGUGGUUCUGAAUGGAAGGGCCAUCGCUCAACGGAUAAAAGGUACUCUGGGGAUAACAGGCUGAUACCGCCCAAGAGUUCAUAUCGACGGCGGUGUUUGGCACCUCGAUGUCGGCUCAUCUCAUCCUGGGGCUGUAGCCGGUCCCAAGGGUAUGGCUGUUCGCCAUUUAAAGAGGUACGUGAGCUGGGUUUAAAACGUCGUGAGACAGUUUGGUCCCUAUCUGCCGUGGGCGUUGGAAUCUUGACGGGGGCUGCUCCUAGUACGAGAGGACCGGAGUGGACGUACCGCUGGUGUACCUGUUGUCUCGCCAGAGGCAUCGCAGGGUAGCUAUGUACGGAAGAGAUAACCGCUGAAAGCAUCUAAGCGGGAAACUCGCCUGAAGAUGAGGAUUCCCUGGAGGCUUGACCUCCUUGA
rnacentral:rRNA from 1 species